ACUCCUACGGGAGGCAGCAGGCGCGAAACCUCCGCAAUGUGAGAAAUCGCGACGGGGGGACCCCAAGUGCCAUUCUUAACGGGAUGGCUUUUCUUAAGUGUAAAAAGCUUUUGGAAUAAGAGCUGGGCAAGACCGGUGCCAGCAGCCGCGGUAAU
rnacentral:rRNA from 1 species